AGGAAAAGUGUGUCACGAUACGCU
rnacentral:siRNA from 1 species